rnacentral:rRNA from 1 species
AUUCCAGCUCCAAUAGCGUAUAUUUAAGUAGUCGCAGUUAAAAAGCUCGUAGUUGGAUUUCGGAUGGGAUCUGCCGGUCCGCCUUUGAGGUGUGUACUGGUAGGUCCUAUCUUGUUGUCGGGGACUAGCUCCUGGGCUUCACUGUCCGGGACUAGGAGCCGACGAAGUUACUUUGAGUAAAUUAGAGUGUUCAAAGCAAGCCUACGCUCUGAAUAUAUUAGCAUGGAAUAACACGAUAGGACUCUGGCUUAUCUUGUUGGUCUGUGAGACCAGAGUAAUGAUUAAGAGGGACAGUCGGGGACAUUCGUAUUUCAUUGUCAGAGGUGAAAUUCUUGGAUUUAUGAAAGACGAACUUCUGCGAAAGCAUUUGUCAAGGAUGUUUUCAUCA